rnacentral:lncRNA from 1 species
UUUAAGAUUUUAUAAAUUAAUUUUUCCUCUUUUGUGGAACAUAAAUAGUAGUAAUUAAUAAUUAAAGAUUAUGUAUACAAAAAUAAAACCAGACUUCGAUUAAAAAAAAAUCAACUUUUAUUUAGUACAUGUACAAUCCCUACGGGUAAACAUAAAAAAAAUAAAACAAUAAGAGAUUACAGAUGUACCCACAUCCUAAUCAGGUAGAUACAUUUAGAAUUUCACACCCCAAACAAAUAGAAAGAAAAAAAGUAGAGAUCCGAAUUCGCACUCAAAGCAGGGGAACAAAACUGGGAAAAGAUAAUGAUCCAAAUGUUCUCAAAAAAUAAAUAAAUAAGGAGCUAGUAUCAAGUAUGGUAGCUGACUCCCAAAAAAUACUAGUAAUUGCCAUGCAAAUUGCAACGGAAAUCCUCUCCUAAAACUCGGAAGACUCCAUCACCAGGCUGGUUGUAUUGAACAACAAAUUAACUUCUCGUCAAUCAAUUCCAAAACCUUGAACCCAUUAAAUUAAUCUUCCCCUGCCCUGCAUGUCAUNNN